GACGAACGCUGGCGGCGUGCCUAAUACAUGCAAGUAGGACGCAGUUGCGAACGAGUGAGUAACGCGUAGGUAAAUGCCUAUUAUAGGGGGGUAAAUAUUGGAAACGAUACGUAAAACCGCAUACUGGUAGAUGGACCUGUGUUGUAUUAGCUAGUAGGUAGGGUAAUGGCCUCACCAGGCAACGAUACAUAGCCGACCUGAGAGGGGGAUCGGCCAAAAUGGGAAUGAGAAACGGGUCAGACUCCUAACGGGGGGAGCAGUAGGGAAUCUUCGGCAAUGGGGGGAAACCUGACCGGGCAAAGCCGCGGUAGGGAAGAAGGGUUUCGGAUCGUAAAGCUCUGUUGAUAAGGGAGCGGUACCUAACCAGAAAGGGACGGCUAACUACGUGCCAGCAGCCGCGGUAAUAC
rnacentral:rRNA from 1 species